rnacentral:ncRNA from 2 species
GACCUAAAAUAACUCCGAGCUUAAGAACCUUCACUAGACUCUAGUAUGGUGCUUAAGCCGAUAGGGUUAGUCCGGAAACAGACUGGCCUCCCGGUGCGGAAAGGAGAACAUAAUGGUUAAUU